rnacentral:rRNA from 1 species
AGUGUAGGCGGCUAUUUAAGUCGGAUGUGAAAGCCCCGGGCUCAACCUGGGAAUUGCAUUCGAAACUGGGUAGCUAGAGUUUGGUAGAGGUAAGUGGAAUUCCAGGUGUAGCGGUGAAAUGCGUAGAUAUCUGGAGGAACAUCAGUGGCGAAGGCGGCUUACUGGACCAAAACUGACGCUGAGGCUCGAAAGCGUGGGGAGCAACCAGGAUUAGAUACCCUGGUAGUCC